AAAAAGCAAACGGAAAAAGAAAAAAAUAAAGAAAAGAAACACACAAGAAAUUGUCUCCCUACCUCAUCCCGUUUGGACCCAAAAACCACAAAACCAAAAGAAACCAAACAACACCGUUCUCUCUCUCUCUCUCUCUCUCCUCUUCUCUCUAUAACCAAACCCUAAACACGAAGACUUUCUUUUCUCUUUCAGAAACUUCAAAUUCGCAAUCCGAUGUUCUAAUCCGGCAAAUCUCCGCGUUGAUCCGGACACAGGAAAGGAAGAGGAAAGAGAAAUAGAAAUUGGCAUGGUGUGAUACGCAGCUAUUGGUUUUGGAAGCCGUUGUUUUCUAGAUUUAAUGCUGUUUUUGGUUAAUCAAACAUACUUGAUGGACGAUGAUUACACAUAUGGAUAAAAUGUCAGCUCCUUCAUCAAGGGAGCGUGCCCAACGCCUCUAUGACAAGGUUAUUGAAUUGGAGAAUAGGCGUCGGAGGUCUGCUCAAGCUCGAAUUCCCUCAGAUCCCAAUGCCUGGCAACAGAUACGUGAGAAUUAUGAAGCAAUAAUUCUUGAGGAUCAUGCUUUUUCUGAGCAGCACAAUAUUGAGUAUGCUUUGUGGCAGCUGCAUUACAAGCGUAUUGAGGAAUUGAGAGCACACUUUAGUGCUGCUACGGCUUCUGCAAGUUCAAACUCAUCUCAGGCUGUGAAGGGCCCUGCUCGGCCUGAUCGGAUUACAAAAAUAAGAUUGCAGUUUAAAACAUUCCUUUCAGAGGCAACAGGAUUUUAUCAUGAUUUGAUAGUGAAGAUCAGAGCUAAGUAUGGGCUCCCUCUCGGGUAUUUCUCUGAGGAUUCUGAAAAUAAAAUUGUUAUGGACAAGGAUGGAAAGAAAUCUACUGAAAUGAAGAAAGGUCUGAUAUCGUGCCACCGAUGUUUGAUCUACUUGGGUGAUCUUGCACGCUACAAAGGAUUGUAUGGGGAGGGGGACUCCAAAACUCGUGAGUAUGCUGCAGCCUCAAGUUACUACUUGCAAGCUGCAUCUCUCUGGCCAUCAAGUGGGAAUCCCCAUCAUCAGCUUGCUAUUUUGGCAUCCUAUUCGGGGGAUGAGUUGGUGGCAGUUUAUCGAUAUUUUCGUAGCCUGGCGGUGGAUAGUCCCUUUUCAACUGCAAGGGAUAACUUGAUUGUUGCAUUUGAGAAGAAUCGUCAGAGUUACUCUCAACUGCCUGGGAAUACUAAUGCUUCUGCAGUCAAAGAGUUGCCUGCACGAUUGACAGGCAAAGGUAGGGGGAAGGCGGAAGCAAUACCUGCAUCUAAAGAUAACAAUACAGAAGUGAGCCUUGUUAAGGAAAAAGCAUCCAGUGCUCAGGAUACUUAUAAGGGUUUUUGCAUACGGUUUGUCCGUCUAAAUGGAAUUCUUUUCACACGUACUAGCCUGGAGACAUUUGUAGAAGUUCUCUCUGUGGUAAGCAGUGGUUUAUGUGAGCUCCUGUCUUCUGGAGCAGAGGAGUUGCAGAAUUUCGGUGCAGAUUCUGUUGAGAAUGGACUUUUCAUUGUUAGACUUGUCUCCAUAUUGAUAUUCACAGUUCACAAUGUGAAGAAGGAAAGUGAAGGUCAGACAUAUGCUGAAAUUGUACAACGUGCUGUCGUACUGCAGAAUGCAUUUACUGCUGUCUUUGAGUUGAUGGGGCACAUCUUAGAGAGAUGCGUCCAGUUGUGUGAUCCUUCUUCAAGUUUCCUGUUACCGGGCAUUCUAAUGUUUGUAGAAUGGUUAGCAUGUUGCCCGGAUGUUGCAGCUGGAAGCGAUUCAGAUGAAAAACAGACUAAAGUUAGAUCAAAGUUCUGGAUGGUUUGCAUCUCCUUCCUGAAUAGUAUCUCGUCAACAGGGCUUGUGUCCAUAGAUGAUGAUGAAGAUGAGACUUGCUUUAAUAAUAUGAGCAGAUAUGAAGAAGGGGAAACUGAGAACCGUCUUGCUUUGUGGGAGGAUUUUGAGUUGAGAGGAUUCAUUCCACUUCUUCCAGCGCAAACUAUAUUGGACUUCUCAAGGAAGCAUUCUUUUGGAAGUGACGGCCACAAGGAAAAAGGGGCCCGUGUUAAACGGAUUGUGGCGGCAGGCAAGGCUCUUGCAAAUGUGAUUAAGGUUGAUGAGAAAGCAGUAUAUUUUGAUUCGAAGGCAAAGAAAUUUGUCAUUGGUUUUGAGCCUCCGGUGCAAAAUGAUUUUGUUCCUACCUCCUAUAUGGGCAUGGCUACUGAAAAUGAUAAUGUGCAAGAAAAUCAAACAGAGAAUACAAUGAAGUUGGGAGUUGCAUAUCCAAAGCCUGAGUUAACCAUGGAAGGGGAUGAGGAAGAUGAAGUAAUAGUUUUUAAGCCAAUAGUGGCUGAGAAGCGGCCUGAUGUGGUAAAAGUGGCUGAGAAGCGGCCUGAUGUGGUAAAAGUGGCUGAGAAGCGGCCUGAUGUGGUAAACACUACUUGGGCAGCCUAUGAAGGCCUGGUGCCUGGAAAAAAUGCUUCUCCAGGUGAUGUUAAAGUUAAUGGCACUUAUGUCACUGCCCCUUUUGAUAAUCUUCGCCAUCAAACCCCUUUUAGUGCUGGUUCACAAAUACCUGUAUCUGUUGGUAAUGGUGUACCACACCAUUUGCAAUCAAUUCAGUCACAUGCUUCCAAGCUGUCAAUGGAAGCUGGUUUUGGUGCUAGUUCACAACUACCUGUAUCAGUUGCUAAUAGUAUCCCCCAGAAUUUGCAACCAACUCAAUCACAUGCUUUGAAGUUGUCAACAGAGGAAGAAAUGUCUCUUGCUCACGGCUUAAAGAGUAUGGGAUUUAUGGGGAAUGGGUAUGUACUUGCAUCUGAGCCUGUGGCAGUUUCAGUUCCAUUCCAGCAGCCAGUAAAUGGUAGUACUAGUGGUAUGGUCUACAGCCACACAAAAGCUCCAGAAGCUAUGUUGCCGAUUAAGGUUGAUGCUAUAUCAUAUUCUGGAGCAAUUGCUGACGGUUUGACUGUGAAGACAUCAUCUAACCUGCCCACAGGUAUCCGAAAGAAUCCAGUAAGUCGACCUGUUAGGCAUCUUGGUCCACCACCUGGUUUUAGCCCUGUUCCUCCUAAAAAUGUGAAUGAAUCGAUUUAUGGCUCCGACUCAAUGAGUGAGAAUCUACUGAUGGACGAUUACAGCUGGUUGGAUGGAUAUCAGAUGCCAUCUUCAACAAAAGGAAAUGGGCUCAAUAGCUCCAUUAAUAUCUCAUCUCAUUCAAACCCCAAUCGCUUCAUUAACAGCAAUGGCUUGAGUGGGCCAGUGAACUUUCCCUUUCCUGGUAAACAGGGUCCACCUAUGCAACUCCAAGGAGAAAAACAGAAAAGCUGGCAAGAUUUUCAGAUGCUCGAUGAGCUCAAACUACACCAUGAAAUGCAGCUGCAGCAACAACAACAACUUGUAAAUGGAAAUCAGCACUUGACUCCUCAGCCUGAGCAAUAUCAAGGACAGUCUGUCUGGACAGGCCGUUAUUUUGUGUGAAGUCAGUAUGGUUAUGAUGGUUCUUGAGGAUGAUCCUGGUGAAUGUCCGCAUUGCCUUUUGCUACCGAAUUCAAACUCCAAAUUUGAAGCUUUGUCAAUGUUAAUUUUCUGUUGGAGCAUUGGUGGCUUUGGCUUCUUGCUGGCAGUUACAACUACACAGAUUUUGCGAAAGCUCUCCAGCUCGGAGGAUGAGAAAUAUGGAUACAUGUUUCGUGCUGCGAAGUUCAUAAGAAGUAAGUGCCUUGUCUGGUUACAUGGGGGGUGGAUAGAGAACAUGUUAAUAAGAUCAUCUGUUGGUUUUGAGGCUUUUAUGCCUCCAGCAAUUGGUGGAAUAAAAUUGGUGUACUCGCUCUUCUUCUGAACUGUUGAAGCAUAUAUUGCUGUGGAUACUGGUAAUCAUCAGCUGGGAGGUGGUUUAGUAUGUAAUUCUAGUUGAGGUUUCUUGCGCGACAAGCUUUGGAGGGCUCUGAGUUGCACAGAUUAUUGGGAAUGUGGAAGGAAAUCAUACUAUGUAUCUGAAAUGGGAUGUGGUAGGUAUAAAAUAUUUCACUGUGAAGAUUAAGAGUAAGUCAUGUCGUGAGUACUACUACUACUAGUGUGGUGAAUGGUCAUGGUGUCCCAAUUUGAGAUUUGAACAAAAAAUAAAUGCUUUUAUUGAUCUUAGUAUGGUGGCAAGCGAUAUAUUCAACCCUUUAUGAAGUCAGGGUUUGCUAGAACUUCAUAUAAUUAAAAUAAUAUAUGUGAACAAUAUGCGUUGUUGAAUGUUAAAAACAUAUUCAAGUUUUAA